GGAUUGUAAACUUCUUUUAUUAAGGACGAAAAUUGACGGUACUUAAUGAAUAAGCUCCGGCUAACUACGUGCCAGCAGCCGCGGUAAUACGUAGGGAGCAAGCGUUGUCCGGAUUUACUGGGUGUAAAGGGUGCGUAGGCGGCUUUGCAAGUCAGAUGUGAAAUCUAUGGGCUCAACCCAUAAACUGCAUUUGAAACUGCAGAGCUUGAGUGAAGUAGAGGCAGGCGGAAUUCCCCGUGUAGCGGUGAAAUGCGUAGGGAUGGGGAGGAACACCAGUGGCGAAGGCGGCCUGCUGGGCUUUAACUGACGCUGAGGCACGAAAGCGUGGGUAGCAAACAGGAUUAGAUACCCUGGUAGUCCACGCUGUAAACGAUGAUUACUAGGUGUGGGGGGUCUGACCCCUUCCGAGCCGGAGUUAACACAAUAAGUAAUCCACCUGGGGAGU
rnacentral:rRNA from 1 species